CGCUGUGAAGAUGCAGUGUACCCGCGGCAAGACGGAAAGACCCCGUGAACCUUUACUAUAGCUUGACACUGAACACUGGUCCUUGAUGUGCAGGAUAGGUGGGAGGCUUUGAAGUGUGGACGCCAGUCUGCAUGGAGCCGUCCUUGAAAUACCACCCUUUAAUGGCUGGUGUUCUAACGUAGACCCGUGAACCGGGUUGCGGACAGUGUCUGGUGGGUAGUUUGACUGGGGCGGUCUCCUCCUAAAGCGUAACGGAGGAGCACGAAGGUUGGCUAAUCCUGGUCGGACAUCAGGAGGUUAGUGCAAUGGCAUAAGCCAGCUUGACUGCGAGCGUGACGGCGCGAGCAGGUGCGAAAGCAGGUCAUAGUGAUCCGGUGGUUCUGAAUGGAAGGGCCAUCGCUCAACGGAUAAAAGGUACUCCGGGGAUAACAGGCUGAUACCGCCCAAGAGUUCAUAUCGACGGCGGUGUUUGGCACCUCGAUGUCGGCUCAUCACAUCCUGGGGCUGAAGUAGGUCCCAAGGGUAUGGCUGUUCGCCAUUUAAAGUGGUACGCGAGCUGGGUUUAGAACGUCGUGAGACAGUUCGGUCCCUAUCUGCCGUGGGCGCUGGAGAACUGAGGGGGGCUGCUCCUAGUACGAGAGGACCGGAGUGGACGCAUCACUGGUGUUCGGGUUGUCAUGCCAAUGGCACUGCCCGGUAGCUAAAUGCGGAAGAGAUAAGUGCUGAAAGC
rnacentral:rRNA from 1 species